GACGAACGCUGGCGGCGUGCUUAACACAUGCAAGUCGAACGGUAAGGCCCUUCGGGGUACACGAGUGGCGAACGGGUGAGUAACACGUGGGUGAUCUGCCCUGCACUUCGGGAUAAGCCUGGGAAACUGGGUCUAAUACCGGAUAGGACCCUGGGAUGCAUGUCCUGGGGUGGAAAGCUUUUGCGGUGUGGGAUGGGCCCGCGGCCUAUCAGCUUGUUGGUGGGGUGAUGGCCUACCAAGGCGACGACGGGUAGCCGGCCUGAGAGGGUGACCGGCGACAGUGGGACUGAGAUACGGCCCGGACUCCUGCGGGGGGCAGCAGUGGGGAAUAUUGCACAAUGGGCGCAAGCCUGAUGCAGCGACGCCGCGGGAGGGAUGACGGCCUUCGGGUUGUAAACCUCUUUCAGCACCGACGAAGCGCAAGUGACGGUAGGUGCAGAAGAAGGACCGGCCAACUACGUGCCAGCCGCCGCCGUAA
rnacentral:rRNA from 1 species